ensembl:lncRNA
GUGAGAGGAGGCAGGUAGCCUGGUGGUUAGAGUGUAGAGGAGGCAGGUAGCCUAGUGGUUAGAGUGGAGGGGCGGCAGGUAGCCUAGUGGUUAGAGUGUAGGGGCGGCAGGUAGCCUAGUGGUUAGAGUGGAGGGGAGGCAGGUAGCCUAGUGGUUAGAGUGGAGGGGUGGCAGGUAGCCUAGUGGUUAGAGUGGAGGGGCGGCAGGUAGCCUAGUGGUUAGAGUGGAGGGGGAGGCAGGUAGCCUAGUGGUUAGAGUGGAGAGGAGGCAGGUAGCCUAGUGGUUAGAGUGUAGAGGAGGCAGGUAGCCUAGUGGUUAGAGUGUAGAGGUGGCAGGUAGCCUAGUGGUUAGAGUGUAGGGGAGGCAGGUAGCCUAGUGGUUAGAGUGUAGGGGAGGCAGGUAGCCUAGUGGUUAGAGUGUAGGGGUGGCAGGUAGCCUAGUGGUUAGAGUGGAGGGGUGGCAGGUAGCCUAGUGGUUAGAGUGGGAGGGGAGGCAGGUAGCCUAGUGGUUAGAGUGGAGGGGAGGCAGGUAGCCUAGUGGUUAGAGUGGAGGGAGGCAGGUAGCCUAGUGGUUAGAGUGUAGGGGAGGCAGGUAGCCUAGUGGUUAGAGUGUAGAGGAGGCAGGUAGCCUAGUGGUUAGAGUGUAGAGGAGGCAGGUAGCCUAGUGGUUAGAGUGUAGGGGCGGCAGGUAGCCUAGUGGUUAGAGUGUAGAGGUGGCAGGUAGCCUAGUGGUUAGAGUGUAGAGGUGGCAGGUAGCCUAGUGGUUAGAGUGUAGAGGAGGCAGGUAGCCUAGUGGUUAGAGUGGAGGGGCGGCAGGUAGCCUAGUGGUUAGAGUGUAGAGGAGGCAGGUAGCCUAGUGGUUAGAGUGUAG